ACCAAUACUGGGGAUUAAUAUGUUCCUUUUAGUUUAAUGGCACGGACGCAAUAUGAAUAUUGUGGUUAUAUCCUGAUUACUAACUUUUACUCUGUGUUACUUAAUCCUGGAAACGCCACAUAAAUGU